ACCUGAGCCGAAGUCAGACGCUUCACGGAGCGAGCCACCCAGGUGCCCCGUCCCAGAGGCCUCUUUCUGUCGGGGAAGGAAAGAGGGCCGUGGGAGUGACUUCUGGUGAGCCUGACCAAAGGCAUUCCCCUGGGGCCCGCAGCCCGUUUCAUAUGGAUUUCCUCAGCAAGAGUGUGUAGGUGCAGGCCUGGGGCACAGCACGCUCGUCACUGGCUGAGCACCCCCAGGGCCGCCAGGAGGCUGCACCUUUGUGGGGGGAUCCCCCAGCAGAGGAAGCAAGUUUUCUCUGGCUCCCAUUAGAGAGGCUGCCUUUGAACUCCUACACACCUGAGAACUUACCAAGACACUAUCUUGAAUUUUUUUUUUUUUUAUGUUAUGUCAUGUGUGUACAUCUUGUUUCCCCAAAUAGAAGAGAGCUCCUUUAAGGCGGGAACUGUAACUUACAUUUCUCUGUAACCCCAUCCUGUCCCCCAACUGCAAAUACCUUUAUCUCGCUUUAUCCUCCAGGAACGAACGGCAGGUGGUUCCCCAGGCACACCACGCUGUUUCGAGCACCAAACGCUUUGCUCUUGUCACUUCCUCUCACUGGAACACUUGUCCCAAUUUUGUGCACCAAGACUCCUACUCAUGUCUCAAGACUCAACUUAGAAACGGUCUGUCACAGGAAGCCCCCCUGAAUUCAGGCCAGGCUCCUAUCCACAGUGAUGUCACCUAUGAUCUCUUCUAAAAAUGAAUCGCAUUUGCAUCUUGGGAGGCCUGUAUUUCUCAUGGAGUGCUGGGCAUCUCAAAACCGAUAUACCUGAACCUUGCUUUAAAAAAAAAAAAG